rnacentral:sRNA from 1 species
GACAGAGUGAGACUCUGUCUAAAGAAAAAAAAAAGAAUGAGAUCAGACUUGGGGGUAGGGUCCACAGAACAAGAUGCUGCAUCCCCUGAGAAAGAGAAGAUGAACCCGCUGGAACAGUAUGAGAGAAAGGUGAAUGCGUCUGUUCCAAGGGGUUUCCCUUUCCACUCAUCGGAGAUUCAGAGGGAUGAGCUGGCACCAGCUGGGACAGGGGUGUCCCGUGAGGCUGUGUCGGGUCUGCUGAUCAUGGGAGCGGGCGGAGGCUCCCUCAUCGUCCUCUCCAUGCUGCUUCUGCGCAGGAAGAAGCCCUAC